CAGCAUUAGGGUUUUGAACCCUAAACUGAGUUUUUCCAUGCAGUCAGCAUUAGGGUUUUAAACCCUAAACUGACCUUUUUUCCUUUAAUCAGCAUUAGGGUUUUAAACCAUAACUGAACUUUUUCCAUACAGCCAGCAUUAGGGUUUUAAACCCUAAACUGAGCUUUUCCAUAUAGUCAGCAUUAGGGUUUUAAACCCUAAACUGACCUUUUUUCCUUUAAUCAGCAUUAAGGUUUUAAACCCUAACUGAACUUUUUCCAUUCAGCCAACAUUAGGGUUUUAAACCCUACACUAAGCUUUUCCAUGCAAUCAGCAUUAGGGUUUUAAACCCUAAACUGAAUUUUUCCUUUAAUCAGCAUUAGGGUUUUAAACCCUAAACUGAGCUUUUCCAUGCAAUCAGCAUUAGGGUUUUAAACCCUAAACUGAAUUUUUCCUUUAGUCAGCAUUAGGGUUUUAAACCCUAAACUAAACUUAUUUCCAUUCAGCCAGCAUUAGGG
rnacentral:lncRNA from 1 species